rnacentral:lncRNA from 1 species
UGCACACCACACAACGACACAAACAGUGGACUAACCUAGCCCACCCCUGCUUUAUUCUACAUCACUGCUUCCCUGAUGUCAGCGUGAGAGGCAGAACAAAGGCUAAAAGGCACACGGUCUAGCUCAGCUUUGUGUACUACAAUUCUGACAGAGAAAACAACCUCAAACUUCUGAUCCCAGCACUUUGAAACGUCAGUUGCUUCUUGGAGUGUGGACAAGGGUGACGCAUAGUUUACAUUCCAUUAGGGAGAAUGAAUUUCAGGAUUAUCUAUUAAAUCAGGCAAGGCAUCUUGGGCUGAGUGACGAAUUUGGUCCUUUGGAAUCUGCACAUAUUUUCACCUGGAAACACGCAAAGGUGGGAUAACUUAUUUAUAAAAAUUAAUUUGAGCCAAAAUAUAUCUAUUAGUAGUAUAAUACUAUGUGGUUUCACGU